rnacentral:rRNA from 1 species
UACGGAGGAUCCGAGCGUUAUCCGGAUUUAUUGGGUUUAAAGGGUGCGUAGGCGGACCAAUUAGUCAGUGGUGAAAGUUUGCAGCUCAACUGUAAAAUUGCCAUUGAAACUGCGGGUCUUGAGUGUAAAUAAGGUAGGCGGAAUGUGUUGUGUAGCGGUGAAAUGCUUAGAUAUAACACAGAACACCAAUUGCGAAGGCAGCUUACUGGGAUACAACUGACGCUGAGGCACGAAAGCGUGGGGAUCAAACAGG